rnacentral:rRNA from 1 species
AGCGAACGCUGGCGGCAGGCCUAACACAUGCAAGUCGAACGAACUCUUCGGAGUUAGUGGCGGACGGGUGAGUAACACGUGGGAACGUGCCUUUAGGUUCGGAAUAACUCAGGGAAACUUGUGCUAAUACCGAAUGUGCCCUUCGGGGGAAAGAUUUAUCGCCUUUAGAGCGGCCCGCGUCUGAUUAGCUAGUUGGUGAGGUAAAGGCUCGCCAAGGCGACGAUCAGUAGCUGGUCUGAGAGGAUGAUCAGCCACAUUGGGACUGCGACACGGCCCAAACUCCUACGGGAGGCAGCAGUGGGUAAUCUUGCGCAAUGGGCGAAAGCCUGACGCAGCCAUGCCGCGUGAAUGAUGAAGGUCGUAGGAUUGUAAAAUUCUUUCACCGGGGACGAUAAUGACGGUACCCGGAGAAGAAGCCCCGGCUAACUUCGUG